rnacentral:tRNA from 1 species
GCGGUUGUGGCGGAAUUGGCAGACGCGCACGGUUCAGGUCCGUGUGAUGCGAGUCAUGAGGGUUCGAAUCCCUCCAACCGCA